rnacentral:lncRNA from 10 species
GGGAAUGUAGGUCUUUCCUCUCUCACCCCAGCCCCAGUCAGCCAAGGUCAGGGCUCCCACUGUUUCUGGCACAGAGCAUUCCUCACAGCAAAGGGGGUGAGUGGGGGCUCUCAGCAGGCUGGGAGCAGGGGUCCCUUAGGCGGGGCCAAUGAUGACAUUCCGGAAGCCCUUCACAGCCUUCAGCUUGUCGCUCUCGAAGUUCACCACCAGCUUGUGGAGGCCCAUGUGGAGCGGCAGCAGGCAUGUCAUCACCCCAUGUAACAGGCGAGCAUGACCUAAGACUCAGAGAGCAUGUUCACCGCGCCCAAGGUGGUGCAUUCAGAGGGCAGCAGAGCUGAGAUUCAAAGCCAGGUCUUCCUGGCCUCGGGAAAUGUCUUUCAACAGCUUCAGUGUUGGGCCCUGUCCUGGUACCAAGAGGAUCUGCCCUCUGAGGGCCUGGCC